AAACAACUCUCAACAACGGAUAUCUUGGCUCUUGCAACGAUGAAGAACGCAGCGAAAUGCGAUACGUAGUGUGAAUUGCAGAAUUCCGCGAAUCAUCGAGUCUUUGAACGCAAGUUGCGCCCGAGGCUUGUCCGAGGGCAUUUCCGCUAGAGCGUCACC
rnacentral:rRNA from 1 species